CAGUCGCCACGGGAAUACGAAGGGUGCAAGCGUUAAUCGGAAUUACUGGGCGUAAAGCGUGCGUAGGCGGUGAGUUAAGUCUGCUGUGAAAUCCCCGGGCUCAACCUGGGAAUGGCAGUGGAUACUGGCUCGCUAGAGUGUGUCAGAGGAUGGUGGAAUUCCCGGUGUAGCGGUGAAAUGCGUAGAGAUCGGGGGGAACAUCAGUGGCGAAGGCGGCCAUCUGGGACAACACUGACGCUGAGGCACGAAAGCGUGGGGAGCAAACAGGAUUAGAUACCCCCGUAGUCCCUGUCUCUUAUAC
rnacentral:rRNA from 1 species